GCGGGGUGGGCGGCCGCACUACCGGCCCGCACAGAGUCGCAUAUUUAACCUGGGUGCGGAGCAAGAGCGUACACGUUGGUACCCGAAAGAUGGUGAACUAUGCUUGGGCAGGCUGAAGCCAUGAGAAAUCUUGGUGGAGGGCCGCAGCGGUUCUGACGUGCAAAUCGAUCGUACGACCUGAGUAUAGGGGCGAAAGACUAAUCGAACCAUCUAGUAGCUGGUUCCCUUCGAAGUUUCCCUCAGGAUAGCUGGUGCCGUGGGAAGCAGUUUUGUCCGGUAAAGCGAAUGAAUAGAGGCUAUUCGAGGGCGCAACGCCCCCGACCUAUUAUCAAACUUUAAAUGGGCAAGAGACCGGUCCCCUCGGCUGGGGUCCGGUAACGGGUGGCCUGCCCGCU
rnacentral:rRNA from 1 species